rnacentral:rRNA from 1 species
CCUACGGGAGGCAGCAGUGAGGAAUAUUGGUCAAUGGACGCAAGUCUGAACCAGCCAUGCCGCGUGCAGGAAGACGGCUCUAUGAGUUGUAAACUGCUUUUGUACGAGGGUAAACGCAGAUACGUGUAUCUGUCUGAAAGUAUCGUACGAAUAAGGAUCGGCUAACUCCGUGCCAGCAGCCGCGGUAAUACGGAGGAUUCAAGCGUUAUCCGGAUUUAUUGGGUUUAAAGGGUGCGUAGGCGGUCGGAUAAGUUAGAGGUGAAAUCCCGAGGCUCAACUUCGGAAUUGCCUUUGAUACUGUGCGGCUAGAGAGUAGUUGAGGUAGGCGGAAUGUAUGGUGUAGCGGUGAAAUGCUUAGAGAUCAUACAGAACACCGAUUGCGAAGGCAGCUUACCAAGCUACUUCUGACGUUGAGGCACGAAAGCGUGGGGAGCAAACAGGAUUAGAUACCCCAGUAGUC